UCCUGGCUCAGGACGAACGCUGGCGGCGUGCUUAACACAUGCAAGUCGAGCGGUAAGGCCUUUCGGGGUACACGAGCGGCGAACGGGUGAGUAACACGUGGGUGAUCUGCCCUGCACUUCGGGAUAAGCCUGGGAAACUGGGUCUAAUACCGGAUAUGACCUCCUAUCGCAUGGUGGGUGGUGGAAAGAUUUAUCGGUGCAGGAUGGGCCCGCGGCCUAUCAGCUUGUUGGUGGGGUAAUGGCCUACCAAGGCGACGACGGGUAGCCGACCUGAGAGGGUGACCGGCCACACUGGGACUGAGACACGGCCCAGACUCCUACGGGAGGCAGCAGUGGGGAAUAUUGCACAAUGGGCGAAAGCCUGAUGCAGCGACGCCGCGUGAGGGAUGACGGCCUUCGGGUUGUAAACCUCUUUCAGCCAGGGACGAAGCGCAAGUGACGGUACCUGCAGAAGAAGCACCGGCUAACUACGUGCCAGCAGCCGCGGUAAUACGUAGGGUGCAGAGCGUUGUCCGGGAAUUACUGGGCGUAAAGAGUUCGUAGGCGGUUUGUCGCGUCGUUUGUGAAAACCAGCAGCUCAACUGCUGGCUUGCAGGCGAUACGGGCAGACUUGAGUACUGCAGGGGAGACUGGAAUUCCUGGUGUAGCGGUGAAAUGCGCAGAUAUCAGGAGGAACACCGGUGGCGAAGGCGGGUCUCUGGGCAGUAACUGACGCUGAGGAACGAAAGCGUGGGUAGCGAACA
rnacentral:rRNA from 1 species